rnacentral:rRNA from 1 species
GAUUUCCUGAGUAACGGCGAGCGAAAGGGAAACUGUCCAGCGCCAAGUCUUGACAUUUAGGUGCUCAAGAGAUGCGGCGUUAAUGCGUUGGCGCAUCGUGCAUUGCUUCUGGCUUCAAGUUCCUUUGACUAGGACAUCCAAAGUGGGUGACAGGCCCAUAGAAGCUAGAGGCUGAUGUAUGCCGGCCAUUGCAUUCUAGAGUCAGGUUGCUUGAGAGUGCAGCUUAAAGUCGGUGGUAAACUCCAUCUAAGACUAAAUAUAACAGCGAGACCGAUAGCAAACAAGUACCGUGAGGGAAAGUUGCAAAGCACUUUGAAGAGAGAGUUCAACAGUACGUGAAACCACUGGAAGGUAAACAAAUGGAGCCACGAAGUUGUGCUCCGGUCGAUUCAAUUAUCAUUGCGGAGUGGCGGCGUUUGUUGUGGGCAUCUUCGGAGGUCGCUCAAGCGCUUACACUUUGCACUGAUGGUGCAUUUCGUGCCGGAGAUGCAAAGCCACGUUUGACUAGAGUUGGAGCGGCUGUAAGGCAGGGUGCCAUUAAGGUGACUGCCACGUGCUUGCAUGUGGUAGCGUUAUAGACUGGUGCCGGCACCGUUAUCAACGAGCUAGUCAAUAAAAGUACUCUUUCGAGAGUGUAAGCCGUGUCCGCCUGUAGCGUCUAGUUAGCUCUUAUAGGUCUUCUUUGCGUGCUUCUGGUGCGAAAAGAGGCUUUGACAGUGUUGACUAGUCGUUGCUUGCGUGGCAUGGUGGAACUGUGGCGCGAGUAGGUCGGUUUCCAUCUGACCCGUCUUGAAACACGGACCAAGGAGCCUAUCAUAUACGCGAGUCGCUCGGUCUUGAAUAGGCCCGGGAGGCAGAAUGAAAGUGAAACUACGAAACUUUGGUUGCAGUAGUGGCUCGCCUACUUCGUUUAUUGGCGAUCAGGCGAAGCUGGAGCGUAUACGAUGGUACCCGAAAGAUGGUGAACUAUGCCUGGGCAAGAUGAAGCCAGAGGAAACUCUGGUGGAAGUCUGUAGCGAUUCUGACGUGCAAAUCGAUCGUCAGACCUGGGUAUAGGGGCGAAAGACUAAUCGAACCAUCUAGUAGCUGGUUUCCUUCGAAGUUUCCCUCAGGAUAGCAGGCAUUUGAUUAACUCAGUCUCAUCCGGUAAAGCUAAUGAUUAGAGGUCUUGGGGUUGAAACGACCUCAACCUAUUCUCAAACUUUGAAUGGGUGAGAUGGAUGACUUUCUUGAUUGAAGCCAUCCAUUUGGAUGUAAGUGCCUAGUGGGCCAGCUUUGGUAAGCAGAACUGGCGCUGUGGGAUGAACCAAACGUCGAGAUAAGGCAUCAAAUGCAUACGCUCAUCAGACCCCAUGAAAGGUGUUGGUUGCUAUAGACAGCAGGACGGUGGCCAUGGAAGUCGGAAUCC